UACAGAGGGGGCAAGCGUUGUUCGGAAUUACUGGGCGUAAAGGGCGCGUAGGCGGCCUGCUAAGUCGAACGUGAAAUCCCCGGGCUCAACCCGGGAACUGCGUCCGAUACUGGCAGGCUUGAAUUCGGGAGAGGGAUGUGGAAUUCCAGGUGUAGCGGUGAAAUGCGUAGAUAUCUGGAGGAACACCUGUGGCGAAAGCGGCUCACUGGACCACAACUGACGCUGAGGCGCGAAAGCUAGGGGAGCAAACAGG
rnacentral:rRNA from 1 species